rnacentral:rRNA from 1 species
UUUGCAUUUUCCCAAUAGGGAGGAAAAGAAACCAACAGGGAUUGCCCCAGUAACGGCGAGUGAAGCGGCAAAAGCUCAAAUUUGAAAUCCUGCGGGAAUUGUAAUUUGAAGGUUUCGUGGUCUGAGUCGGCCGCGCCCAAGUCCAUUGGAACAUGGCGCCUGGGAGGGUGAGAGCCCCGUAUGGCGCACGCCGACUCUUUGCACCGCGGCUCCGACGAGUCGAGUUGUUUGGGAAUGCAGCUCUAAGUGGGUGGUAAAUUCCAUCUAAAGCUAAAUAUUGGCGAGAGACCGAUAGCGAACAAGUACAGUGAUGGAAAGAUGAAAAGCACUUUGAAAAGAGAGUGAAACAGCACGUGAAAUUGUUGAAAGGGAAGGGCUUGCAAGCAGACACGGUUUUACCGGGCCAGCGUCGAAAAGGGGGGAGGAACAAGAACUCGAGAAUGUGGCGCGCACCUUCGGGCGCGCGUGUUAUAGCUCGUGUUGACGCCUCCAUCCCUUUUCGAGGCCUGCGAUUCUAGGACGCUGGCGUAAUGGUUGCAAGCCGCCCGUUUAAAACCCCGGACCCAA